GUGGGGAGGGCGGCGGUAAAGGGGUUGGGGCCGGAGACCUCAGGACACGCUUCGCUCUCUGGGACUUGUAAAUGCCCCUCUGCCUCUACACCAUUCUUAGUCUCUCAUUUGGUACUGAGAUGUAAGCUGUGGAUGAGCUGAUAGCUCACCUGAAAACAAACAAUUAAGUAGAUGGUAUUGGACACCUUGCAACCUAUUCGUUCUCAUUUCCUGCCAGUCUGGCUCAAGUUGUUUCCUCCGCCUGGAUUGUCCUCCGGCCUUGUUUGCUGAAAUCGUCUUUCAAGACAAGUCAAAAGUUACCCUUCUGGAAGUCUUUAUACAUCCACAGGUUUUAUAGAGCCACCCUGUGCCCAGCUUCCAGGCAAGACCUUGGUCUCUGGAACCAAUCUGUGUUCAAAUCCCGCCUCAGCACUUUCCAGCUAUGUGACACCUGUGUAAAAAAACUUUCGUCAUGGCCCCUGGACUGAUUACUAGAGCUCCUGGCCCCUGGGCUUCUUAGAAAAGAGAGCCUGAGACUAGAAAUGCCUUCUCUUCCCGUGGGGACCCUUCCUGAGAGGAGAGAGAGACAGCUGAGAUGGAGUUACCACCUGCAGCCCAGGAGCCUGGGGGCUUUCACACCAGGAAAUGAAGGUUUACUCUGCGUUUGGGAGGACUCAUCAUACAGCACUGAGGGAUUGAAUGGAGCAGUCUAGCACUUGGUGUGUGUUUGGGGAGAAGCAGACUCUUGGAGCCACGAUUAUGUCGUUAUCAACACGAAGAGCAUGGAAAUCCCGCAGCCCCUUUGAGCUCAGCUGGACGAUGGGUGAGGUGGUAGAAUCUUGGACAGACUCCAAUAGGAAACUGAGAUCAUCCAGAACUCCUGCAUUCCCACUGUCGCCCUGAAUUGUGGGCAGGUGGAUGAUCUUGCAGGUCAGCUAACUGGUGACGGCUGGCCUAGGAGAAGUCAGAAAUCUGAGGCCAGGAAGGCAGCCCCUCCAAAUGAGACUCCACCUUUCUGCUAGUAAAGGGGUCUGUGUCUGAACCAAAGCCACACAAUUUAUUACUUUUCCAAAAGCUAACGUUGCUGUUUGGCUCUGAAGUGCAACUUGCUCACAAGCAAUUCAGGGUAUUCAUCCUGCUUAUUCCAGGAUGAAUAUUUCAUGGCGUCUGCCUUGGAAAUUGGCUUCCCACCCAACUGAUUGGGUUACAUCUUUUGUGGCUGAACUCUCUUGGGUGACUUUUAUUUACAAAUAUUUUUUAUUGUGGCAAAAUAUGUAUAACGUUAAUUGACCAUUUUAACCAUUUUUAAGAAUACAGUUCCAUGGCAUUAAGUACAAAAAAAAUUUUAAAGGGGUUAUAUAUCCUGGGCUGUAAGAAGACUUGACCUCCUUUGUUCUGCCUAGAUCCAAAAAAUGUUGCUCUUGAGAGUUCAAAGUCAUUCUAGAACUGAAGAGUCCUGCCAUCAGAAGGGACUUUUUUUAGUUUUUUGGUGUCUAUGCUGUCCUGAGAGGGAAAUUCCACUUUUUUGGGGAAUUAUAUGCAGUACUUACAUAGGAUCCAUUGACAUGCUACAUCUAUUAAUAAUGUCAUCUAUGAAAACAGAGUUAUUUUUAGAUUUAAACAUUCAUAAAUCAAAACACAAAGAAUGAACCAUCAUGUAAACUAUGUAUUCUAGUUAAUAAUCAUGUAUGAAUAUUGUUUCAUCUAUUGUAACAAAUGUGCCACACCAAUGCAAGAUGUUAAUAAUAGGGGAAACUGUGUGUGUGUCUGUCUGUCUGUCUGGGGUAAUAUGAGUACUCUCUGCUCAUUUUUUCUGUAAACCUAAAAUUGCUCUAAAAAAAGUAGCUUGUUAAUUUAAGGAAGAGACAUAACAGAAUGAAUUCCUGGAAGAAAUCUCUCCCAGUCUUCUUUGACACAACCCGCCAUCCUUAAUAGUUUCCAGCUGAGCCCCACCUAAACCAGUCUACCUGCAGCUUUCCUAUCUUACCUGAGGGAGAAAAGAAAAUGUUCAUAAAUACCACAUUCCUUAGUAAAAACCUACUUCCAGCAUUAAACUUUCUCUUUCCAAUCUGACAUUCUUUCUCCCUCCUGUUCACUUCUUCCUUAACCCGAUAUACAUAUCUCAGCCUCCUAUCUGACAUCUCAUUGACUCAUGCAGCAGUAUCUGUCCCAUGCUCUCUACGCCAUAGGCGUUUCUGGAGUGGCAUUAUUAUCCCUCCCUCUUUGAAGGGAGGAGGAGUAUUUCCUGUUUAUGUAAAUCCCUAACUCCUCCCUCUCUAUCUCUUCACUUUGUGAUUCCCCAAAUUUUUACAGUUGGGUUUAAGAGACUCCCGUAUUGAUUUCUCACUUUUUCCUUUUUUUUGAAAGCAAGCUAUUUCUAGCAAUCUUCCAAACUAGAUUGAGCGCCUGCAUUCAAAAUGAAGCGCACCUGUUCAGGGCUGGUGUCGUUGAGGGCCGGGGACAGUGGACACAGGCAGCUCAGCCUGCAGAGGACUCAGGGAGUCCAGGGCCAGCAGGUGGACGUCAUCGUGCCUGCAGGCAGUGAGAUCAGCUUGGGCCAUCACAGUGAAGAAGUGCAGGUGAGAUCCAGUGCCAGGUAACCAGGGUUCCACAGGUUUCAGUUGGGCGGGGCUGAUCACAAGACCAAGGAGAACAUCAAGGGAGAUGUUUACAAACCCUCCAUCCACCCCGCCACAUCUGAAAGGUACAGCUUGGUUCCACUAGAAAGGGAAGAGAUUUUACUAUUGUCAGGUCCCAGACAAGCAGAACUAGAGAAUAGUCAAAACAGUUCUGUGUUUUUCCCAUAACAUCACCUUUCCGCCCAUAGAGGCAGUCAUGGGUUGGUUAGUGUAAGAAGCUUUUCCUUGUUCUGAUUUUCCCCUCUUCAAUCUCUGCCCUGCUCCCCUCUCCUCCCCUCCUAACCUACUCCUGUACUCCCCUGUUGGGUCCCAGCUCCCUCCUGGCACCAGUGGAGCUCCUGAGCUCUGGGAUCAAAGCAGAAUGCCUACAAGAAAAAUAAACCAUUUCCUUGCUAAUAUUAACCACCUUUCAUGGAAUAAUUUGAGUUAUGUCUUUUAUGAUAAAAGACCACAUUUCCACCAGGAAGGGAAGAAAUAGAAUGUGUGAAGAGGAGAGAAAACUUUAUGUUUGCUUUUGUGCACUUCAACUCUAACUGAGAUCUUUUAUCCUGGGUACAUGUAUGGAAGGCUUGUUGGCCACACCCCAAAGAGCAGGAUCCUCUCGGUCCUAAGAACCAGGAUUAGUCAGAGGAAGUCUAGCUUUUCCAGGGUGGACCUGAUCUUCAUUCUCUCAAUCUUUUCUGUAUUUGGCUGAGGGGAGAGCCACCACUCUCCAGGUAUAUUUGGGCUAAACUGGGGAUGGGGGAGAAAGUCAGUCCAUGACACUGAUUGACUGUGGGGGGUGGUGGACAGACCCCAACUAAUCAUCGCAGCUUUUGUGUCUGUGAAUCAGUCACCCUCUGGGCAAACACAGAGGAGAGCCCCACCCAUGACCUAGACCAAUAACUAGGUCUGCAUCACGCCCAUGUAUGUGUAGUACUCAGUUUGGGCUUUGCCUCCAUUCUCACAUCUCAUACAACCAUUUAAACUGUGUGGUUCUCAUCUGGGCCUUAAUUACUAGUCAAUGAUUAUAUUUCUUGUGAUUUUUUUUUUUCUAUAACAUACCUGCCGUUUAUUUUCCAUCUUCUAAUGAAAUUAGCCAUUCUGAUGUUUUCCAAUGAUUCUUCAAGAUACUCUUUUCAAGUUGCCUCCUCCUGACUUCCAAAAAUUUUAUUUCCAACUAGGCAGAAAUUUUAACAGAAUGCCCUAGUCAUGUGUUCUUUUUUUCAAAAUUGAGACGGAAAUAAAAUGCUUAGUUAUAAAAUAGUUCCUCUUUUAUCAUUUCUAGCCACUCUACCCUAAGGGUAGCUGUUCUAGGAUGUGUCAGCCCAGAGGCUAUUCUUUUUUUUUUUCUUUAAGAUUUUACUUUUUUCCUUUUUCUCCCCAAAGUCCCCCAGUAUAUAGCUGUAUAUUCUUUGUUGUCGAUCCUUCUAGUUGUGGCAUGUGGGACACUGCCUCAGCGUAGUUUGAUGAGCAGUGCCAUGUCUGCGCCCAGGAUUCGAACUAACGAAACACUGGGCAGCCUGCAGCGGAGCAUGCGAACUUAACCACUCGGCCACGGGGCCAGCCCCUCAGAGGCUAUUCUUAAAAUCAAA
ensembl:lncRNA